AACGAACGCUGGCGGCAUGCCUAACACAUGCAAGUCGAGCGAAGACUUCGUUCCUAGCGGCGGUCCAGCGAGGACCGCGAGGUAACAAGCCCUUUGCUACGCGUAGGCACUCUGACAGUGAGAGUAAUACCGGUAGAGCCCAUUGUGGGUAAGAUUUCAUGGUGAAGGAUCGGCCCGGGUAGGUUUUGGUAGUUGGUGGGGUAAUGGCCUACAAAGCGGACGAUCCAUAGCUGGCUAGUGAGGAUGAUCAGGGACACUGGGACUGAGACACGGCCCAGAAUCCUAGGGGAGGGAGCAGAGGGGAAUCUAAGACAAUGGGGGAAACCCUGAUCUAGCCAUGCCGGGUAAGCGAUGAAGUACUUAGGGUUGUAAAGCUCUUUCAGAUGGGAAGAUAAUGACGGUACCAGCAGAAGAAGCCCCGGCUAACUCCGUG
rnacentral:rRNA from 1 species